GCGACACUAGCUCAGUUGGUAGAGCGCAACCUUGCUAAGGUUGAGGUCACGCCUGUUUUUUAUAAAUAGGGAACCUCGUGUGUCGCUCCA
rnacentral:tRNA from 1 species